UACGGGGGGGGCAAGCGUUGUUCGGAAUUACUGGGCGUAAAGGGCUCGUAGGCGGCCAACUAAGUCAGACGUGAAAUCCCUCGGCUUAACCGGGGAACUGCGUCUGAUACUGGAUGGCUAGAGUGUGGGAGAGGGAUGCGGAAUUCCAGGUGUAGCGGUGAAAUGCGUAGAGAUCCGGAGGAAGACCGGUGGCGAAGGCGGUCUGCUGGGCAGUUUCUGACACUGAUGCGCGACAGCGUGGGGAGCAAACAGG
rnacentral:rRNA from 1 species